rfam:Populus trichocarpa scaffold_1248_contig_1, whole genome shotgun sequence.
UGAGAUUACAAGGAGGAUUUUCAGCUCCCUCUUCUGAUUUAAAGUUGAGGAAACUAGCUGGCCGAAUCGAACCAAUUUAUUUACAGCCAUCACUGAGUAA